rnacentral:lncRNA from 1 species
CAGGCAUGUUAGCAAGGCUAUGAGGGUGAACUGAAGUCCCUUAUUUAUUUAUUUUUUUACUUGGCUGGGCUGGUGAUACAAUGAAAGGCAUCACCUGCUAGUCAUAGUCUUCACCUGCAUUAUCCAUGAAACCCUUUCCAUCCAGCUCUGUACUUCAAGUGCCUGUGUAGGUGAACCACCAGGAAAGCAGCAUAAAACAUGGGGAGAAAUUUCACCUGGCUAUAUUUCUGAGUGAAAUAUUUAAUUCAGAGAGGCCAAUAGGAAAUUAACAAUCCAUUUAGAAUAAAGGCUGGCCAGAUAGCACUAAUGCUUUUGUCUCUUGUCCAGGGGUUUUCAUAUGCUCUUGAAACCAUUGAGCUCUCUUUUAUUGAAGGUCUAUGCUUUUUCCUGUAACUGUGCCCACAGGAAAUGUGCACGUUUAUGUCUGCAGAUCCCUUUUGCUUUAUGGCAGUCCUACAUGACCCCUCUCUCCCCUAGCACUUCGCACGCUGAGCUGAGAAACCUCCUUCGUCUUGUGAAGGUCUGCGUCCUUCCAGUAUCGCUCUGGCAGAAGAAAGCGAGGACAUCUUGGAGAGCCCUAGAGGGACUCACCAGGAACAUUUUUCCUCUUUCAGAUCACUUGAAAUGAUCAAAGGAGGAAGACUGUGGGUCUGUGACGGGAACUGGUGAUUUACCAGCAAACGUCAUUAUUUCAGCCCUUAGCACUUGAGAGAAUGUCUUCGGCAGCCCCAGAAUCUCCUGUUUAGCUUUGCUUUUCCACCGUGCCCGUAGGAUAGCAGGAAUACUUGGAAGAGCCUUAGAGCAGCUGCCCUGCCAAAGAGGGAGCAGUGCUGUAAGAUGAUCAGGUACCAGGCAAGGGCUUGUCCCGAUGUGCUGCUAGUGAAAUCCUACCAAAAUGCUCCCUACGCUUUUUUUUUUUUUAAGGGUGGGCCACUGCUGCUACUUUUGCUUCAUUCCUACAGCCAAGUGGACCUAAUGGUACGAGGCUGGAUGUGCUGACACGCUGCAUCUCUUUGACUGUAUUUGUAUAUUUCGAGCACUGUGGUCCUCUCCACACUGACUGCAAACUUCUCCAAGCUUGUGUUUUCUCUGAGAGUGAAUAUACCGAAGCAGUUUACUCUCAUAAGAAGAGGAAUGGGUAUAAUAACAUGAGGGUUUUAAUAACAUCAAGGCCAUAAAAAUGUUCCAUAACUUUGGAGCAGGAAGUCAUCUCUGCAAAAGAACAGCCACAGGCAGUGGGCACACCGAGAAGCACUACUAAAUAUCUUGAGACUUUUCUAGAAGAAGGAGGAAAACAAACUUUGGAAUAUCUGCAUCUGAUAUAUAUAUAUGUAUCAAUUUGAGAGGCACACAAGGUGAUUUUUAGUUUAGAUUAAGGUAGAUUAACAGCAGAGAUGGCUGGGUCCAGUGCUGUAGUUCUACAGACACAGAUCCCAUAUAACUGAUCCAUGACUUCAGCUCUACCUGGAAGGACAGGAAAGAUCAGCCCUACAUUUUGUUUCAAACUGACAUAUCCAUGAUGUUUUAAACCUCAGUCUUCUCUUCUUAUGGCCUUUGAGGUAUUAAACAGAGCAGAUUUCCACUGAGGGUAUAAUACUGUGUUUUGCUAAAGGAGCAGCAAAGAUCCCAUUAGCAGAUGGACCUGGCACAGCAAAUGCUGAAUCCCUUGGCCCACUGAAGCUCAUGUACGUCAGCACCAGCUUCACCAUUAGCACUGGGUACAACUGAGCAGCUCGGAGGCAUUUCCCUUUAAACAGUUCAGGACAUCCCAUAUAGGACAAAGUAAAUGUGAAUUGUUUUCUGGAAAGCAACCAUUCUGGAUUCUGCACUAGAAUAUGCACUGCAGUAUGUCUUAUAUCCUAUUCCACUGUGUAUAAAAAGGAAAAAAGGGGGAAAGAAGUUGGAUCUAGAGAAUAAUCCCACCAACAGCUGUUUUAUACCCCGAAACAUACUUGUUUAGGAAUUAGUCUGUUUGCCCACAUGCAUUCCUACAGGCCAGAUCAGCUUUCAGUGAGAAGAUAAUUUAGUAACAGACACUUUCUACUAUUUAUAAGACUUUCUUCUUAACAAUUCAUCUGCAUUACAGAUGCAGUAGGAGCUGGGGGCUGUUUACAACACAGUUGCAAUGUAGUGUAGGCAGCAUUUACCCAUACUUUUACAUGUGGUCUUUAACUACAAAAUGCAGUGGUUCACAAAUGAUCUUAAGCUUGGAAAUGGAGCUAAGAGCCCAGAGAAGCAUUCAAAUGUUGAUGUAAGACUAAAAAGCUAAAAUGCAAAGAACCCCAAAGGAUAUCUACUCUGCCUUGAUUUAGGCUUACCUUUUGAGGCAUAUGGAAACUUCAUUGGUACCUGCCUUUAUCAAUAAUGCUGUCCUAGUGGAUGGAUAUAGGGGGCCUAAGUGUUAGGUUAGACAGGGCAGUCAAGGUGCAGCAGGUCUGGUGUGACAGCCUACACAAGACAGGAUGUGCGGGAUGAGACAUCCGUGUAGCUUCUUCUGAAUCAUUUCUUAGAACGCUGCCAGCCCAGCAUGGAUGUACUUCUCCUUCUGCGGUUUUUAGCCCUUCCCAUAUUUCUGUGGUAGCUGGAUUUACAUAAUUACAAAUAUACGUACACACACAUAUAUGGAUACACUUCCGUUAGUUGCAGAAAUUGUCUAGAAAAAUGAUUUGAGGUAGUCGUUCUAGGCAUGUGCAGUUUAGCUGCACUGUAAGUCUUCGAGUUAGAUAAAUCAUGAAUUACACAUUCCCACUCAGUUCCAUUGUUCAUGGCUUAAAAUGAAACACUAUUGGUUUGUUGUUCAGGUGAGUUUAUUCAAAUAAACAACAGUAAAAUAACAGGAUUCCCAGAAAGAAAUGACCUCCCUUUCAUAAAACAGAAAAAUAAAUGUUAGUAACAUUAAUUACAUAUUUUGGUCAAAAACUUUUGAAUUUCUUUACUCUUUGAGUACAGUACAGAUAUUCUUUCUAUUAAAAGCCUUUGAUAUUCUUCAGAGAAUUUGGUAUUCUAUGGAUAAUUCUUUACAGUAACAACUACACUCAGGGAUCACGUCACAAUCCAUUCGUGUAAGUCACAGGGCUAGAUCCCAUCCACUUUCCACUCUCUGGGUGCUACCAUACCUCCCCAUACCUUCUGGACAAUCCAUUUUCAUUAAUGGAACUGGCUACAGACUAAGAUAUUACCGAAACCAAUCUAAAUUUUCAGUGCAUUGUAUAACAUUCAUACCACAAAUGCAGAGUAGAGUUAAAAAAUAACCAAAUUAAGCUUAAAACUGACUUAUCAAAGCAAAAAUAUAAAGCAUUGCAGAAUCAUUCUUGACUUCACUUUCCAGGCCUCAUAGUAUUUUACUGUACUAAGAAUUACAUUACAGUCAUAAAACAGAAUUAUUUCUCUUGCUAAAACUCCUAAAAGUAAUACCUACAAAAUUACAGCAAAUACCAUUACAAUGUCUGUGAACAAUAAAAGGCAGUAUCCUGAUUCAGAGGAGCAUUAUAAGGAUGUGCUUAAACAUAUCUCUCCUCAGAAAGUACAUUAUCACAUGCUUAGAGCUAAGUUCCUGUGUAAGCAAUUUCCUGAGCUAGAGUCCAAACAAUGCCCUGAUGAACCAGGUGAAAUUCAGGGGCUUUUACACACCCCCAGUUUUUUAUGUGACCUCUGAAAAUACAAACAGAUCAUCAGAGUCCUCAAAAUGACAUGCACAGGUUGCUCAAGCUACAUAGGUUUCCCAUUGAACACACUCUGAAGAUGAUACUGACAAAAAGAUUUAUUUCCAAUUCUGUAUUUCCUUGG